rnacentral:rRNA from 1 species
AAGUCGUAACAAGGUUUCCGUAGGUGAACCUGCGGAAGGAUCAUUAGUGAAUAUUAGGGUGUCUUUGCUUCAUCGCAAAGAGCCUGACCUCCACUCUCCAACCCAUUGUGCAUCAAAAUACAACCAAGUGGACUAUUUGAAAGAGCCGUCAAAAGCUUGAAUAGAAUGUGUUUGCACGGUUUCACCCUUUAAAACACCAAGUCAAAGAAUGUAAUACAAACCAAAACAAAAUAAAACUUUCAACAACGGAUCUCUUGGCUCUCGCAUCGAUGAAGAACGCAGCGAAAUGUGAUAAGUAAUGUGAAUUGCAGAAUUCAGUGAAUCAUCGAAUCUUUGAACGCACCUUGCGCUUUCUGGCAUUCCGGAAAGCAUGCCUGUUUGAGUGUCAUGAACUCUUCAACCCACCGGUUCCUUGUUGGAUCGAGUUGGUGUUUGGAUCUUGAAUGUUGCUGGCUUGAUANNAGCGANNNNNNUUCGUAAUACAUUAGCAUCUCAACUUCGAAACUCGGAUUGACUCAGCGUGAUAGACUAUUCGCUGAGGACAUGUUUAGGCAUGGCNGAAUUAGAUAACUAGAAGCUUCUAAUCCCCCCACUAGUCNAAACUAUAAGAUUAGACCUCAGAUCAGGCAGGAUUACCCGCUGAACUUAAGCAUAUCNAUAAGCGGAGGAAAAGAAACUANCAAGGAUUCCCCUAGUAACGGCGAGUGAAGCGGGAAGAGCUCAAAUUUGUAAUCUGGCACUUUCAGUGUNCGAGUUGUAAUCUCGAGAAGUGUUUUCCGCGCUGGNCCGCAUACAAGUCUGUUGGAAUACAGCGUCAUAGUGGUGAGAACCCCGUAACUGAUGCGGACGCCCAGUGCUUUGUGAUACACUUUCGAAGAGUCGAGUUGUUUGGGAAUGCAGCUCAAAUUGGGUGGUAAAUUCCAUCUAAAGCUAAAUAUUGGCGAGAGACCGAUAGCGAACAAGUACCGUGAGGGAAAGAUGAAAAGCACUUUGGAAAGAGAGUUAACAGUACGUGAAAUUGUUGGAAGGGAAACGCUUGAAGUCAGACUUGCUUUUUGGAAUUCAGCCGCAAGGUGUACUUUUCAGAUUUGCAGGCCAGCUUCAGUUUUUGGGGGUGAAAAAGGGUAUUGAGAAGGUAGCAGUUUCGGCUGUGUUAUAGCUUUUUACUGGAUUCAUCCUUGGGGACUGAGGAACGCAGCACACUUUUUGCAAGGUCUUCGGGCUUUUCUGUGCUUAGGAUGCUGGUGGAAUGGCUUUAAACGACC